UCUGCGUUUUCUUUCACGAGAACUGUGAGGAGGCAUGGAAGGACUAAAGUUUUCCCUCAGAAUGCAGUUCUCGUGCGACCACUUCUUAUAUAACGCAUCACGAGUGACAAAGUUACCAUCCGGGAAGCAUUUUUCUCCAAAACAAAACUAUAGGUGGUGUUGCUUAGCAGGGGAAAGGCUAUGAUUUCCUGAAUGGGUAGCCAAGUAUCUCUUGUAUUUAUUACUUUUCUCAGUUUCGUGAAUUUCAGGCUGCUCUUCCGAUUCAUGUUCCAUCAUAACUUAGGGUUCUAUUGAUAUCACCUACGCCUCUCCUGUUGCCGCCUUCUGCUGCUGAUUGUCAUUGACAAUGGUUGAAGCAGAGAAAGCUGCCGAGCCCACCUAGAUUGAGGCUGUGACUUGCCUAAAAGUUAUUGAACUCUGAAACUCCUGACUGCAGUGAUUGGAUGCCUUCCAAAUUCGAUGAGUCCUGACACUGACCUGGAAGCCUCAGGCUUGUGCUUGUUGAGAUCGAUCCAGUCUCCAAUGACAAGAAGUUCUGGUUCAAGGAGAGAAGCUUUAGUCUUCAGUGUGCCAAGUCAGGUUGUGAAUCGCAUGAAGUCAGCUGUCACCUGCCGCGGUCAUGGGCCGAGAUGUCAAUGCUUCCUCAAGAUCCCUAUCGUUGAAACCUACUUCGCCACUUCCUUAAAGCAAUUGGCUCCAAACUCAGGAAAUGUAGAGUUUAAUUGAGGAAUUGUCCUGAUAUUUUCCUGAUCAGCUACUCGAUCCCAGAUGAUGGUGGUGCGAAUGGAGCAAGUGCGCCAACACAUACUCAGGAAGGUCGGUCCAUCAGAUGUACUGAACCAUCUUGUUGGUUAAGUUCUUAAGCAUCCCUCUCUCCAGCCAACACGCUCGAUCCUUGUAGCAACCUCCCUCAGUUCAUCGACUUCUUUCCUGCUGACCUGCACCCUUCUUCAUUUGUCAAAGGGAGAUUUAUGGCAAUUGAUAACAUCGUGUUCAUUGAUAACCCGAAUAUCUCUUACCUCAGGCCAGAGGUUAUUGUGGGCUUAAGAGUUUGACUGGGUCGGAGGAAUCUGUUUUGGACAAAGACGCCGCCAGGCUACCCAUUUAUGUCACCACGACUGGUUAUAUCAAAAGGAAUCACAUGAAGCAUAUUCUGAGGGACGAUUUCACCCUUUUGUGCCUCCUCGUGGCUCUCGAGGAACAAAUCUCAAUAGUAAUGUGGCUAUGGACGUCGUACCUCUUCGAAUGUCACCAAAAGAAGGCUCGCUGUGGUGGGCACCCGUAGAACAUGAUGUUGAUUUUGAGGCUUAAGCUCAACACGGUCCCAAAAUGGCGCAUCGUCGUUGUAGUACUUAUAGUGGAGAUGGUGCAGGUGAGGAGUGAGGCCGUGAUGUCAACUUCAAGGCUCAACGACUCACAGAACUUACAGAGUCCCAAGACUCUUACCUGUUCCAGGUCUCCUCCCAGGAUAAGAAGAAACCAGAAUAAAUCAGAUCCUGCAAGCAUAUUGCAGGUGCUCCAGAUGGAAGCCAUUCAAAAGAAAUCCAUAAAUAGUCCUCCAUGGUACAUUCUAUACCUCGCUUGCAAAGAUUUCCCACUAGCCCCAACCGGAACAAAUUUAUCUAAUCAAAUCACUACCAACUGAAAUGAUUAGGGCAAUCUGAGUUUUUUUUAAGUAUGAUCACAGGGCCGAUAUCCUGCCUGUUGCACUAGCUGAUCAGGAUCAGAUGAGUUUAUUUGCAUAGAAAUGGAUUCUAUCACACUAAGUUACUUCUACAUAUAGAUACUGACUUAAGAACAAAGUAUGAUAUUAAGCCUUGUCAUCGGGAACUUUGAUCUUCUCGAACUCCACAAAGUCCAACGGCCACGCUCCGAGCUGCUCCAUCUCCAGUAUCUGCAGGCAAAAGCAGCACCGCGCCCAUUCCUUUUCGUGUCAAGCCUUGAAGUCGGUAUCACGUUCUUCAGAUGUAGAACCCACCCUAGUUGUUGAUUCACCCGAGAAGGCGAGCCUUCAUGUGGCACCAUCUUGAAGGGGGCAUCACGCCUAGACCACAUUACUUUUGCGCUUUCUUUCACGAGAACCACAGGAAGGAGGCACAGAAGGAUGAAAUCGGCUCUCAGAAUAUGUUAUCAAGUGAUCCCUUUUGAUACAACCAGUCAUUGGUGACAUAAAUUGGUUUUCCGGUGGCAUCUUUGUCCCAAACGAAUUCCUCCAACCCAGUCAAACUCUUUAACCUCACAUCAACCUCUGGCCAGAGGCGAGAGACGCUCGGGUUAUCGAUGUACACAGAUCUUGUCAAUCGCCAUAAAUCUCCCUUUGCCGAAUGAAGAAGAGUGCUAAGUCAGCUGGGAAGACGUCGAUGAACUGCAGGUGGUUGCUACUAAGAUCGUGCGUGUUGGCUGGACGACGGUUCCUGAAGAACUGAACUACCAGAGAUGCGAUCCGUUCAGCAUAUUGACCGGCCUUUCUGAGUAUGUGAUGGUACACGUGCACCAUUUGCGCUGCCAUCAUCCAGGAUCCGGCUAGCUGGUUGGGAGUGUAUCGGGGGCGAUUCCUCUAACUACCCUCUGCUUGAACUAUGAUCUUUCUGAGGCUCGAUCACUUUAAACGAAAGUUAAUUGAUCACGACUCUGUAUGAUGUACACAGCACUCUCGGUGCACUAGUAAUCUGAAAGAUUGAGUACAAUGCAAGAUGCAAAGUGCAUGAUAUUAAAUGAAUUAACGCCUUGAAAGGGACGAUCAUUUCUCUUCUAAA